rnacentral:rRNA from 1 species
UACGAAGGGGGCUAGCGUUGCUCGGAAUCACUGGGCGUAAAGCGCACGUAGGCGGACUCUUAAGUCGGUGGUGAAAUCCUGGAGCUCAACUCCAGAACUGCCUCCGAUACUGCGAGUCUCCGAGUCCGGGAGAGGUGAGUGGAACUGCGAGUGUAGAGGUGAAAUUCGUAGAUAUUCGCAAGAACACCAGUGGCGAAGGCGGCUCACUGGCCCGAUACUGACGCUGAGGCGCGAAAGCGUGGGGAGCAAACGGG